GAACGGGUGAGUAAUGCAUCGGAACGUGCCCAGUCGUGGGGGAUAACUGCUCGAAAGAGCAGCUAAUACCGCAUACGACCUGAGGGUGAAAGCGGGGGACCGUAAGGCCUCGCGCGAUUGGAGCGGCCGAUGUCAGAUUAGCUAGUUGGUGGGGUAAAGGCCUACCAAGGCAACGAUCUGUAGCUGGUCUGAGAGGACGACCAGCCACACUGGGACUGAGACACGGCCCAGACUCCUACGGGAGGCAGCAGUGGGGAAUUUUGGACAAUGGGCGCAAGCCUGAUCCAGCCAUGCCGCGUGCGGGAAGAAGGCCUUCGGGUUGUAAACCGCUUUUGUCAGGGAAGA
rnacentral:rRNA from 1 species